UCCUACGGGAGGCAGCAGUGGGGAAUAUUGCACAAUGGGCGAAAGCCUGAUGCAGCAACGCCGCGUGAGCGAUGAAGGCCUUCGGGUCGUAAAGCUCUGUCCUCAAGGAAGAUAAUGACGGUACUUGAGGAGGAAGCCCCGGCUAACUACGUGCCAGCAGCCGCGGUAAUACGUAGGGGGCUAGCGUUAUCCGGAUUUACUGGGCGUAAAGGGUGCGUAGGCGGUCUUUUAAGUCAGGAGUGAAAGGCUACGGCUCAACCGUAGUAAGCUCUUGAAACUGGGGGACUUGAGUGCAGGAGAGGAGAGUGGAAUUCCUAGUGUAGCGGUGAAAUGCGUAGAUAUUAGGAGGAACACCAGUAGCGAAGGCGGCUCUCUGGACUGUAACUGACGCUGAGGCACGAAAGCGUGGGGAGCAAACAGGAUUAGAUACCCUGGUAGUCCACGCCGUAAACGAUGAGUACUAGCUGUCGGAGGUUACCCCCUUCGGUGGCGCAGCUAACGCAUUAAGUACUCCGCCUGGGGAGUACGCUCGCAAGAGUGAAACUCAAAGGAAUUGACGG
rnacentral:rRNA from 1 species